rnacentral:rRNA from 1 species
CAGUCGCCGCGGUAAUACGUAGGUCCCGAGCGUUGUCCGGAUUUAUUGGGCGUAAAGCGAGCGCAGGCGGUUAGAUAAGUCUGAAGUUAAAGGCUGUGGCUUAACCAUAGUACGCUUUGGAAACUGUUUAACUUGAGUGCAGAAGGGGAGAGUGGAAUUCCAUGUGUAGCGGUGAAAUGCGUAGAUAUAUGGAGGAACACCGGUGCGAAAGCGGCUCUCUGGUCUGUAACUGACGCUGAGGCUCGAAAGCGUGGGGAGCAAACAGGAUUAGAUACCCCCGUAGUCCCUGUCUCUUAUACAC